GACGAACGCUGGCGGUGUGCUUAACACAUGCAAGUCGAACGGUAAGGCCCUUUCGGGGGUACACGAGUGGCGCACGGGUGAGUAACACGUGAGUAACCUGCCCUCAUCUCUGGGAUAACAGUCGGAAACGGUUGCUAAUACUGGAUAUGAGCUUGCAAGGCAUCUUGUGGGUUGGAAAGAUUUUUUUUGGUUGGGGAUGGACUCGCGGCCUAUCAGCUUGUUGGUGAGGUAGUGGCUCACCAAGGCUUCGACGGGUAGCCGGCCUGCGAGGGCGACGGGCCACAUGGGAACUGGGAUACGGGCCAAACUCCUACGGGAGGCAGCAGGGGGGAAUAUUGCACAAUGGACGGAAGGCUGAUGCAGCAACGCCGCGUGCGGGAUGACGGCCUUCGGGUUGUAAACCGCUUUCAAUUGUGACGAAGCUUUUUUGUGACGGUAGCAGUAGAAGAAGCACCGGCUAACUACGUG
rnacentral:rRNA from 1 species